rnacentral:lncRNA from 1 species
AACGUAGACAGCUGCAGUAGCUGUGAGAGAAGUGUGUCCAUGAUGACGUCACGCACAGAAGCUGUUCGUAGCAAAACUAUUAAGUUGCUCUACAUUAUAUUUAUGUACCUUUGUCUCGACCAAUAUUUUUAGGUAAUCUACAAAAGAAAAUUCCCUGAAUACGACUAUCAGUAUACAGUCGGCUGUGCUGUCCAAAUACUGCCAUUGUUCUAAUGACUGCAUUAUUCUGAUUAAUAAUAGGAGAAACAAAUACAUAAAUCUGUGUUCUUAACUUCAAAAUACUAUAUAAUCCCGACUGCAGUACGUAGUUUUCAUUUCAAAAUGAAGCAGUUCGUGUUUUGUUUGAGUAUUUUUAUCUUCAUUAUAUUCUUGGCUAACAGAGAAGUAAUGGCCCAAAGUAAUGAGGGAGAAAUACAAGGAACUCGUCCUAAGAUUGUUCCAUCAGCUAAUGUUGGUAUAAUGCAACAAACUCCUCCAUCGGAACAUCUCCUACAAUCAUCUCCUGUCAAUGUUGUUAUACCAGGUCCUAUUGUAAGUUUUAUUUAUUUUCUAUAAUUUAAAGGAAAAAGGAGAAUUGUGUCUUACAAUAUUGUCAGCUGCUGAUGAGGUUGAAAGAAUAAGUAAUGGUAAACGCUAAAUACCACUUCCCAUAUCUAACCAAAGAAGAAGAAAACAACUCGCAGUUGCCUGAAUCUUGUGAUGGUUAAUAAAUAAUUGUUUUGCUGAAUAUGUGUUUGCUUAUUGCUUUAGUCGAUCAGAUCGGAAGAGC